ensembl:lncRNA
CGAGCAGAUACUAUAUGUUGUUGAAGGUUGAUGUAAUGGUUAUCAAUAUUGUUCAGAAGUGUUAACGUGCACGUCUGUCUGCUUCUGCCCAUGUUGUGCUGUUAGCUAUUGGAAACGGAGAAUUAUCAAAAUAAUAUAAAUACAGCUAAAGAACAGCGCGUGAGAGGGAAUCUCUGAGAGACGACAUUAAAACAAAGUUUACUCACCUGUGCAAUGGCGAGUGAACUCUCCCCAAAUGUUUAUGGGGGUCCUCCUCCCCAGUCAGAUCUUAGACUCCUGCUGCUUGGGAGAGUCGGAGCUGGGAAAAGUACAGUAGGCAAAACCAUCCUGGGCAGCGAUAACUUCUGGAGUGAAGGAGGCAUGUGUGUGAAGAAGCAGGGUGGAAGGACCGUCACCGUGGUGGACACCCCGGGCUGGGACACUGUGAAGUACACGUCCACAUACAUCAAACAAGAAAUUAAGAAGUGUGACCCCAUGCCCUUCUUCUGGUGGUGCCCAUGGGCGACCCGCUCUCCUCCGCAGAAAGAAAGGCGAUUCGGUAUCACAUGGCGCUAUUGUCAGUUAGGGCAUGGAAGUUUACCAUGGUCUUGUUUGUCAGUGAGGCUGAGGAGAAAUGCACAUCCAUUGAACAAAAUCAGAUGAUCGGCAGAGCAAAAAGUAUUCUAGCGAAAUGUGGACACAGACACCAUCUCCUUGAGUGUGGCAAUUCUCCUCCCCAGAUUUCUGAGCUCCUGAUAAAGCUAGACGCCAUGGUAGCAGAAAACUGUGAAGAAUUCUUAAUCCCCCAAGUAUAUGAUGAACUGAUGGAGACUACAAUGCCAAGUGAAGUGACCGAGCUGAGAAGGAUGUAUGAAGACCGAGAGGACAGACUGAAACGGAAAUACAAAACAGAGUUGAAGGAAAAGGAAGAAGAGCUGAAGAAGUACAGAGAAGAAGAGAAGCCUAAAGAAAGGUUGAUGAAGAGGACAAGUAGCAGUCAACUACUCCCCCCCCCCACGCCCCC